rnacentral:lncRNA from 1 species
CCCCACUAGAGAUCGUCAGCAAGCACCAAAGCUGAGACAGCCGCUAAUAAAAAGGCUACUCUCCACCACUUCUUUCCACCACUUCAUUCCUCUCUGCCUUCUUAAGCAAAAGCUCCACCACAAAAGAGAACUUCGCUUGAGCCUCACAGAUUCAGUGAAGAAGAUGAAGCUUAGGCUUCUGCAUAUAGUGGCCGUAGCACUUCUAGUUCUCUCCCGCUGAUAAAAAGGCUAGCUGUUUCAUCACUUCAUUUCUCUCUGCUUUGCCCUUUAGCAAAAGCUUCACAAAAAAGACAACUUCGCUUCAACCUCACAGAUUCAGUGAAGAAGAUGAAGCUUGGGCUUCUGCAUAUAGCGGCUCUAGUACUACUAGUUCUCUCCCAAUAUGGGGCAGCAGAAAGUACCAAAAAACCAGCUAAAUCCACCUAUAUCAUCCACAUGGACAAGUCCAACAUGCCCA